GAUGAACGCUGGCGGCGUGCCUAAUACAUGCAAGUCGAGCGAACGGACGAGAAGCUUGCUUCUCUGAUGUUAGCGGCGGACGGGUGAGUAACACGUGGAUAACCUACCUAUAAGACUGGGAUAACUUCGGGAAACCGGAGCUAAUACCGGAUGAUAUUUUGAACCGCAUGGUUCAAAAGUGAAAGACGGUCUUGCUGUCACUUAUAGAUGGAUCCGCGCUGCAUUAGCUAGUUGGUAAGGUAACGGCUUACCAAGGCAACGAUGCAUAGCCGACCUGAGAGGGUGAUCGGCCCCACUGGAACUUGGACACGGUCCAGACGCCUACGGGAGGCAGCAGUAGGGAAUCUUCCGCAAUGGGCGAAAGCCUGACGGAGCGACGCCGCGUGAGUGAUGAAGGUCUUCGGAUCGUAAAACUCUGUUAUUAGGGAAGAACAUAUGUGUAAGGAACUGUGCACAUCUUGACGGUACCUAAUCAGAAAGCCACGGCUAACUACGUG
rnacentral:rRNA from 1 species